CGCCCUCGAUCCGCCUCUGCGGUCGCAGCGCCGCAGUGGACGGGAAGCCGGUGUGAAUCCGGCGCGGUCCUCGCCACUGUGACCGGGGAGCCAACCCGCCGAGACCGUGCACGAGUUCUUCCACGACG
rnacentral:ncRNA from 23 species